rnacentral:rRNA from 1 species
CACCGCGGUUAUACGAGAGACCCUAGUUGAUUGAAGCGGCGUAAAGAGUGGUUAUGGAGUUUUCCCCUUUAAAGCAGAAAACCUCUCAAACUGUUAUACGCACCCAGAGGUUGAAAUCCCUCACACGAAAGUGACUUUAUAUUCGCCUACCAGAACCCACGAAAGCUGGGACA